rnacentral:rRNA from 1 species
GAUGAACGCUGGCGGCGUGCUUAACACAUGCAAGUCGAACGAGCUUUAUUACUACGAUCCCUUCGGGGUGACGGUUUUAAAGCGAGUGGCGGACGGGUGAGUAACGCGUGGAUAACCUGCCCUUGUCCAUCGGAUAACCCGUCGAAAGGCGGACUAACACGAUAUGCAGUCCACAGCAGGCAUCUAACGUGGACGAAAUGUGAAGGAGAAGGAUGGGGAUGCGUCUGAUUAGCUUGUUGGCGGGGUAACGGCCCACCAAGGCGACGAUCAGUAGGGGUUCUGAGAGGAAGGUCCCCCCACAUUGGAACUGAGACACGGUCCAAACUCCUACGGGAGGCAGCAGUGAGGAAUAUUGGUCAAUGGGCGGAAGCCUGAACCAGCCAAGUAGCGUGAAGGACGACUGCCCUAUGGGUUGUAAACUUCUUUUAAUGCGGGGAUAAAGUGAGCCACGUGUGGCUUAUUGCAGGUACCGUAUGAAUAAGGACCGGCUAAUUCCGUG